rnacentral:ncRNA from 1 species
UACCUGGUUGAUCCUGCCAGUAGUCAUAUGCUUGUCUCAAAGAUUAAGCCAUGCAUGUGUAAGCACACACUGUUUUAAAAGUGAAGCCGCGAAUGGCUCAUUACACAGCCACAGUUUAUUAGAACUUACAAUCAUGGAUAACUGUGGUAAUUCUAGAGCUAAUACCCCCACAAAAAACUUCCACUGAAUUUGGUUGAAAGUGCUUUUAUUUAAACAAAAACCCAACCGGCGUUUGACCAAAUGUUUAAACGUCCAAACCUGGUUUGGGUGAAUUCUGAAAUAAACUAUUUCCUGAAUCCAUGGGUCUAACACCCGGCGAAAAUCACUUUUCAAGUGUCUGCCUUUAUCCAACCUUCCAAUGGAAGUCUAUGCCAACUACC